UAACUUUUGGUGUAAGGCACGUUAAAUUUUGAUUUUAAAGGAGAUAACUCGAUUUAUUAAGGUUAA
rnacentral:tRNA from 1 species